GCGAGCGUAGCCAAGUGGUUAAGGCAGAGGAUUGUGGUUCCUCCAUUCGUGGGUUCGAAUCCCAUCGUUCGCCCUA
rnacentral:tRNA from 1 species